GCCAAUGAGACGCCAUUUUCUCUAAUCCGCCAGCAGCCCCUUUCUAUCGUUGGUCGUGGAAGCCGCUGCAGUUUGCUGCUCUUGAUCUCCACCUCUAGACGCUUGUGUCUUCUCCACCAUCGGCUUUUUCAGCGACCUCUAUUGUUUUCAGUGUCCACCGUCUCUCUGCUCUGUCCCUCUUGCUUCUUCAGAAAGAUUGAUGCUUUUUUCUCUUGUUUCUCACCACCACAUCAAGCGGAUGUAAAAAUUCAGGCAAGGAAAGGAAAUAAAUUUCUGGAACAAUCUCAACCUUCACUGCAUCGCAGCCAAAAUUCAUGCCCCUAUUCUAACUGUUUCAAGGUUCUGCAUUUUCCCUUCAAUUUCCAUUUGAAAUUCAUUUUUCUUUGGUUUUCAAGGGAGGUGCUUUUAUUCAUGGGAAACUAAUUUUUUCUUCUCUCUGAGUUUCACAAAUCAAAACGAUGGAAGGAGGAGAAGGCAUUGAGCACAAGAAGGAACUGUGGACGGAGAAGACAAGUUUUUGAUGGAAUGCUUUGGGUUCAUGGAAGAAGAAAAAAUCUCUUUCCUUCUACUUGAAUGGACAGUAAAGAGAGAGGGUUUUAGAAAUUGAAUGCUUUACUCAAGAGCGGUUUAAAUAUACAUAGGACGAGGCUGCUAAUGGGUUCGUACUAAUUUUGUGUGGAUCAAAAACUUAAUGUUUGACUUUAAUGUUGAUUGUUUGCAGUUGGGACAAGUCCAUUGGUGUCAUUGGUGUCUUUGAGCAAAGAUGAAUCAGACCACCAAAUCCAUCAGUGGAAGUUAGAUUUGAGUCAACAACAAACGAGAGGAAGCCAUUAAUGUGAUAACUUCGGACAAGUGCAAGACGGGAAAGGAAGCCAUUAAUGACCUGAUCAAAUUUGCUGAUACAAGAGAGCCUAAAAUUAAAGAAGCAAAUGAGAAAGAGCACUGAGAUACACCAUUCUGACUUAUGGAGAACACAAUUCUUCUUCGGAGGAUUUGAUGAGAAGAGAGAAUGCUGCUGCUCAGUAUGAACAAGUUUUCGAACGGGCAUUCAUGGAUCCACCUUAUGUUUCCUAAUGAAGACCUAUUUGUUGAAAGAAUGGAAGAACAAAUCCAUGCCACUUGAAUUUCCUGUUCACGGGAAGCUAUUUGAUUCUGGAAAAUCUAGUAGAGGCAUAGGCAAGAGGAACAUGACAACGCCUAUUAUAAUAUCAGUUUUGAUAGGAAUAACUCUCAUUACACUAUCUGGAUAUUUCUUAUGGAAAAUAUGCUCAAACCAAAAAGGUUUUUCAUACUGGGAUGAAAGAGAAUUCAGUUGGGAAAGAUAAUAAUAUACCACAAGGACCAUCAAGUUUUUGUGCAGACUCGAGAUAUAUGGAUUCAAAAACUAUUAUACUAUGUCUGCAUCAUUACAUACUUUUUGCUUAACAGCCUUGAUAACCCUAAAAAGUCUUCAUAUUUUAUGAUUUUUAAACAAAAUAUAAGCAGCAUAGAUGUUAUCCAUGGCUGCUCCUAUAUGUUUCAUGGCGGUAUGUUAUAUUAUUUGUCCGCAACUUGAGCGCUAUGUCCUUCAAGUAGAUGAGAUGAGGAGGUUUUGGUUUGAGUUUUUUUUCCUACUUCUCAAUUAUGACCAUAAUAUUGGUGCUUGAAGUCUUGGCACAACAUAGAUAUUGAGCACUUCUUUAA